rnacentral:lncRNA from 1 species
AAUGGUUUCACUGCUUGGCUGUGGAUAAGCUUGGAUUCUUAUGUCUCUGUGCACUCAAAGAGCUUAGGCUUUAUACAGAUACACCUCAGUUAAUGAUGUGGUCAUCUCAUAGAUCUAUCAUGCAGCAUAAAUUUGAAAUGCCUCGUACACUUUGUCCAUGCAGUACUAUCCCGAGCUUUUGUCCCCGCUGGCAAGAACACACUCAGGACAACCGGAAUCUUCUGUGGCAAAGCUUUUAUUGCUUACUUAUCAGGAGGGAAGACCCCGAACCGGGAAAAUGGCGCUGCUUAUAUAGCCCGCAGUGUGACGUUUCAGCACCUGAUGUGGCGUGACAGCUCCUGAUUCGUUGCUUGCCCAUCACCCCAUUACUACACCGCAAGAUGGGCAUUGACUAGGUGUGAGUUCACUCUUGCACUUGCGCAUAAGGCUUAUUUACUAGUUAGGCGCAGUGGAAGCCAGCGCCAUCUUAUAAUGGUGGUUGCUCACAGCACGCACGCAAUUGAUCGCUGCACGGCUCUCCACACAGUACCAUAGCUUAGAAACAAUGUGUUUUGUACUGUUGGCUGUUCCCUCUUCCAUCUCAAGACAAGAGCUAAAAGCAUGGGUGAGGUUCACUUCUCAGUAGUGACAGAAAGAAAGGGAAAAAAGGAAGUAAGGGUCAAGCAUUACUGGGAGC